rnacentral:rRNA from 1 species
UACGUAGGGUGCGAGCGUUAAUCGGAAUUACUGGGCGUAAAGCGUGCGCAGGCGGCUUUGCAAGACAGAUGUGAAAUCCCCGGGCUUAACCUGGGAACUGCAUUUGUGACUGCAUGGCUGGAGUGCGGCAGAGGGGGAUGGAAUUCCGCGUGUAGCAGUGAAAUGCGUAGAUAUGCGGAGGAACACCGAUGGCGAAGGCAAUCCCCUGGGCCUGCAAUGACGCUCAUGCACGAAAGCGUGGGGAGCGAACAGG